AAACCCCAACAGCUAGCCUACCUAGAAAAUUCAACAAACAACAUUAAUUAACCCAAUACUUACUUAAACCCAAAAAGUAAACCAUUCUUCCACCCUAGUAUGGGAGACAGAAAAGGACACAGGCGCUAUAGAGAAAGUACCGCAAGGGAAAGCUGAAAGAGAAUUGAAACAACCAGUAAAGGACAAGAAAGCAGAGAUUUGACCUCGUACCUUUUGCAUCAUGAUUUAGCAAGUAUCUUUCAAGCGAAGAGCCCUUUAUGUUUGAACCCCCGAACCUAGGCGAGCUACUCCGAGACAGUCUAUUAUAGGACAAACCCGUCUCUGUGGCAAAAGAGUGGGAAGAGCUUUGAGUAGAGGUGACAGACCUACCGAGCCUAGUGAUAGCUGGUUGCCUGAGAAUUGAAUAGAAGUUCAGCCUUUUAAAUUCUCUAACCCAAAAUGGGCGUCCCCUGGCCCCGGACAAAGGACAAUUAAAGGAGUUAUUCAACAGAGGGACAGCUCUGCUGAAAGAGGACACAACCUUCAAAGAAGGUGAAAGAUCAAAAGAAGUGAAGGAACCAUACCCAAGUGGGCUUGAAAGCAGCCACCCCUGAAGAAAGCGUUAAAGCUCAAGUAUGCAAACCCAACAAUACCGACUAUAAUAUCUUACACCCCUUAACCUAUCAGGCCAACCCAUGCCACCAUGGGUAAGACAAUGCUAGAAUGAGUAAUAAGAGGGCCAAGCCCCUCUCAAAUGCACCCGUGUACAUCAUAACGAACCCCCAACGAAAAUUAACGCUCCCAACCCAAGAGGGUAAUGAACCAACCCCGCAAAACAAGAAAACCUUUCAAACCCCCAGCGUUAACCCUACACAGGAGUGCCCCAUGAAAGACAAAAAGAGCAAGAAGGAACUCGGCAAACACUAGCCCCGCCUGUUUACCAAAAACAUCGCCUCUUGCCCCCACAUAUAUAAGAGGUCCCGCCUGCCCUGUGACCAAAAGUUUAACGGCCGCGGUAUUUUGACCGUGCGAAGGUAGCGUAAUCACUUGUUUUUUAAAUGAAGACCUGUAUGAAUGGCAUAACGAGGGCUGAGCUGUCUCCUUUCUCCAGUCAAUGAAAUUGAUCUACCCGUGCAGAAGCGGGUAUAAGCACAUAAGACGAGAAGACCCUAUGGAGCUUAAGACACAGUGUAGCCCGCGUCAAGACCCCCAACUAAAAGAGAACGAACAAAGCGGCCCCUGCCCUCCUGUCUUUGGUUGGGGCGACCGCGGAGAAUAAAGAAACCCCCACGUGGAACGGGCGAAAGCCCCAAGACCAGAGCUACAGCUCUAACAAACAGAACUUCUGACCAUCAAUGAUCCGGCAAGCCGAUCAACGGACCAAGUUACCCUAGGGAUAACAGCGCAAUCCCCUUCUAGAGCCCAUAUCGACAAGGGGGUUUACGACCUCGAUGUUGGAUCAGGACAUCCUAAUGGUGCAGCCGCUAUUAAGGGUUC
rnacentral:rRNA from 1 species